rnacentral:misc_RNA from 1 species
ACCUACCAGACCUUACAAUUAUUCUAAAAAUAGAUGUCAUUAUGGCUAUUGGAUUGAUACAUAUUUUCUUAUGAAUAUUCUGUAACUGUGUGCCAUGAAAAUGAAUUGGGUCAGAUAAUAAUCAGAGAAUGAUAAUAAUGAGAGGAAGUGACAAUAUCCAGAGCUGAAAAUGAAUUUGAUGAAUUGAAUUAAUUUGAUUCAAAAUCCACAAGAGCCUUAGAGAGCUUGCCAAAGAAGAGGCAGAGAAUCAGAGUAUGUUUAGGACAGGAGCUAUCACACCCGAUGGUCUUAUUGAUGAAGACUUUGAAGAUGAACUAGGAUCUCCUUGUGAGGAGGUAGUGAAUGAUACAAGUAAAGAGUCUGAGUUCCAAGACAUUUCGCGCUACUCUAUUGUUCAGGUAGCAGGAGAUGAUAACUACGGUCGUAAAGUGAUAGUCUUUUCUGCAUGUAGGCUACCUCCUUGUAAGGACUUAGACCACCAGCGACUUUUAGACUACCUGAAACACACUUUAGACCAGUAUGUUGAGAGUGACUACACACUUGUCUACUUUCAUCAUGGCUUAACAAGCAAAAAUAAACCAAGCCUUCGCUGGCUUCUUCAGGCCUACAAGGAAUUUUCUAGAAAAUACAAGAAAAACUUAAAAGCAUUUUAUGUAGUCCAUCCAACAAACUUUAUUAAAGUGCUUUGGAACAUAUUUAAACCUGUUAUCAGUGCAAAGUUUGGUAAGAAAGUAAUGUAUGUGAACUACCUACAUGAGCUCCAAAAAGAUUUACAUUUUGAUCAACUAUCAGUUCCAAAUAGAGUCCGAGAAUAUGAUGCCCUCCAUCUUGCAAAGAACAAACCUAAAGUGCCAUCCCUAACAGCUAACUUCUAUCGACAGUCAUCAACGCUACAAUUUGGAGCAUCGUUAAAAUUUAUAAAAGAGCAUCACAACAAUGAGGUGAUUCCUCCUGUCAUGGAGGAGACGAUAGCUUACAUACGUAAGACAGGCAUGCACACUGAGGGAAUAUUCCGAAGAUCCGCUAAUGCAACCACAUUGAAAGCAGUACAAACUAAGUUCAACCAAGGUGAACAAGUUGACUUUGACCAGAUGGGAGAUGUGCAUGUUGCUGCAGUCAGCCUGAAAACAUUCCUGAGGGAACUGGAAGAGCCUCUCAUUACAUUUGACCUCUAUGAUGCGGUCAUCAAAAUACAAUCCCUUGAUUCAGAAGAGAGGGUACAUGAGAUAAAGCGUCUCCUGUAUGAUGAGCUCCCUGAAGAUAACUUCCUAGUCUUGAAAUACCUGAUUCGCUUUCUAAAUGAGGUAUCUACCCAUAGUGAUGUUAACAAGAUGACUGCAUCAAACAUUGCAAUAGUGUUUGGUCCUAACUUAGUAUGGAGCAAGAAUCAGGUGUCUCUGUCUGCACUUGGACACAUCAACCUGUUCACAAACAUUCUCAUAGAGCAAUACAUCCACAUAUUUGAGGAUGAAUAUGUUGGCAGUGAGGAUGAUGAGAUGGGUGGCAAAUAUUAGCAGAUUAUGGACUGAAUUAUUUUCAAAAACAUUAUUAUAUUAUUUAUAUACAAACAUACUCCUGGUAAUAUUCACAUAUGUAAAUCUGAGCUCACAUAAAGUCUGAGAAACUCGAAAAUCUGCCUUUAAUACUAAACAUUCAACAGUUUGAAUCUACUCAAAUCUAUGAAUACUAUAUAAGCAAAAGAACUCGUAUAAAGAAAAAAAAUUAAAAUAUUAGCAUAGAGAAUUGCGAGGAGGCCCCGGUGCCAUGUAAAGGUUGAAGUUACCCAAUGUUAAAACUAAUAAGGCACUUUGUGACGUUACUAAAAUUACCUAUCAUGAAGGGUAAUUUUACAUGACACUGGUAUAGGAGGACACAUUUGUAACAGUGAAUAUUUAAUGCCUCUUGCUCUAGCAUGUAGCCAUGGUGGGUAAUGGUCAUGAUGGGUAAUGGUCAUGAU